CGGGUGGCGAACGGGUGAGUAACGCGUGAGGAACCUGCCUCAAAGAGGGGACGAACAGUUGGAAACGACUGCUAAUACCGCAUAAGCCCACGGGUCGGCAUCGACCUGAGGGAAAAGGAGCAAUCCGCUUUGAGAUGGCCUCGCGUCCGAUUAGCUAGUUGGUGAGGUAACGGCCCACCAAGGCGACGAUCGGUAGCCGGACUGAGAGGUUGAACGGCCACAUUGGGACUGAGACACGGCCCAG
rnacentral:rRNA from 1 species